rnacentral:misc_RNA from 1 species
AACGGUCUAUACCUGCGGUACCUGCGGAAGGAUCAUUACUGAAUUGAUUUUGGGGAUGUUGCUGGUCUCUUGAGGCAAUGGUGCACUCCCUCAAACAUUUCACAAUUUCCAUCUUACCCAUGUGCACAUCCUGUAGGUGGUCUCCCAACCCACCCUCCAAGGAAAGGGGGGGAGUGUGUGGGUCUGGUCUCCUAUGUAUUUCCUUGCCAACAUCACACGUUUUGACAGAAUGAAUCCUGU